CUACGGGGUGCUCCAGUAAGGAAUAUUGCGCAAUGGAGGCAACUCUGACGCAGCCAUGCCGCGUGCAGGACUGAAGGCCUUAUGGGUCGUAAACUGCUUUUAUUUAGGAAUAAACUCUUGUACGUGUACGAGACUGAAGGUACUAAAUGAAUAAGCACCGGCUAACUCCGUGCCAGCAGCCGCGGUAAUACGGAGGGUGCGAGCGUUAUCCGGAUUUAUUGGGUUUAAAGGGUGCGCAGGCGGACUAUUAAGUCAGAGGUGAAAUCCCGGAGCUCAACUUCGGAACUGCCUUUGAUACUGGUAGUCUUGAAUACGGUUGAAGGAGGCGGAAUGUAGCAUGUAGCGGUGAAAUGCAUAGAGAUGCUACAGAACACCGAUCGCGAAGGCAGCUUACUAAGCCGAUAUUGACGCUCAGGCACGAAAGCGUGGGGAGCGAACAGGAUUAGAUACCCUCGUAGUC
rnacentral:rRNA from 1 species